AGGAGGUGGUUCCGGAACCUCUGGAGUCUCCUGGUCCUGGCGCAGCCCGGGAGGGCUGGACAGGGUGAACCGGGUUUCUGUGAGAGGGGCAAGUGAAGGAGGAAACGGCUUUGUCCCCUCACCUCGCUCUGAAUCCGGCUCCGUUUUUGUGUACCUGAUGAGCAUCUGCACAUCCAGCGCUCAUUAGCAAGUGAAGCUUAAUUUUGUCACAUCCAAGGUGCUGCGUGGUCUGAGGCCUCGCUGUACUCUCACAGUUUUCUGCACUCUUCCAAGACCAGCAGAAAAUGAUCACAUCCCAGGGUAUUGUGUUCCUGAACCAGAAGUGAUCCUCAAGUUGGAACAAGGAGAGGAACCCUGGGUAUUAGAGGAAGAAUUUUCAAGCCAGAGCUACCCAG
rnacentral:lncRNA from 1 species